AAACGUAUGGCUUAGUGGUAGAGCGCUUAAAAAGUUUCCAAGAGCGCGGGUUCAACUCCCGCUACGUUCA
rnacentral:tRNA from 1 species